CCGUCGCCCCUCGCGCCCCUGCGCCCCCCGACCCGCGUCCCCGGCGCCGCCGGCCCGGAGCUGCCCGGAAGCUCGCUCCUACCGCGGCGCUCGUCAGGGCAAGCCCGGGUCCGUCCGGGACCUCGGCCCCGUUCUCCCCCGGACCCGAGAGGCUGCUGCACCGGCUGCCGCUCCAGAUGCUGCUGCUGCCGCCGCGGCCACCCCACCCUCGGUCCUCCUCUCCGGAGGUCAUGGACCCACCGCCCCCCAAGACUCCCCCUUUUCCCAAGGCGGAAGGCCCCUCCUCCACUUCUUCCUCGGUGGCGGGGCCGCGGCCACCGCGGCUGGGCCGCCAUCUGCUCAUCGACGCCAACGGGGUCCCCUACACGUACACGGUGCAGCUGGAGGAGGAACCUAGGGGCCCGCCGC
rnacentral:lncRNA from 1 species